UACGUAGGGCGCAAGCGUUGUCCGGAAUUAUUGGGCGUAAAGAGCUCGUAGGCGGUGUGUCACGUCGGCCGUGAAAACCUGCAGCUUAACUGUGGGCGUGCGGUCGAUACGGGCAUCACUGGAGUUCGGCAGGGGAGACUGGAAUUCCUGGUGUAGCGGUGAAAUGCGCAGAUAUCAGGAGGAACACCGGUGGCGAAGGCGGGUCUCUGGGCCGAUACUGACACUGAGGCACGAAAGCUAGGGGAGCAAACAGG
rnacentral:rRNA from 1 species